UACGUAGGGGGCAAGCGUUGUCCGGAUUUAUUGGGCGUAAAGAGCUCGUAGGCGGCUUGGCAAGUCGGGUGUGAAAACUCCAGGCUCAACCUGGAGACGCCACUCGAGACUGCUAUGGCUAGAGUCCGGUAGGGGACCACGGAAUUCCUGGUGUAGCGGUGAAAUGCGCAGAUAUCAGGAGGAACACCGGUGGCGAAGGCGGUGGUCUGGGCCGGCACUGACGCUGAGGAGCGAAAGCGUGGGGAGCAAACAGG
rnacentral:rRNA from 1 species